rnacentral:rRNA from 1 species
GGUUAAGCGACUAAGCGUACACGGUGGAUGCCCUGGCAGUCAGAGGCGAUGAAGGACGUGCUAAUCUGCGAUAAGCGUCGGUAAGGUGAUAUGAACCGUUAUAACCGGCGAUUUCCGAAUGGGGAAACCCAGUGUGUUUCGACACACUAUCAUUAACUGAAUCCAUAGGUUAAUGAGGCGAACCGGGGGAACUGAAACAUCUAAGUACCCCGAGGAAAAGAAAUCAACCGAGAUUCCCCCAGUAGCGGCGAGCGAACGGGGAGCAGCCCAGAGCCUGAAUCAGUGUGUGUGUUAGUGGAAGCGUCUGGAAAGGCGCGCGAUACAGGGUGACAGCCCCGUACACAAAAAUGCACAUGCUGUGAGCUCGAUGAGUAGGGCGGGACACGUGGUAUCCUGUCUGAAUAUGGGGGGACCAUCCUCCAAGGCUAAAUACUCCUGACUGACCGAUAGUGAACCAGUACCGUGAGGGAAAGGCGAAAAGAACCCCGGCGAGGGGAGUGAAAAAGAACCUGAAACCGUGUACGUACAAGCAGUGGGAGCACGCUUAGGCGUGUGACUGCGUACCUUUUGUAUAAUGGGUCAGCGACUUAUAUUCUGUAGCAAGGUUAACCGAAUAGGGGAGCCGAAGGGAAACCGAGUCUUAACUGGGCGUUAAGUUGCAGGGUAUAGACCCGAAACCCGGUGAUCUAGCCAUGGGCAGGUUGAAGGUUGGGUAACACUAACUGGAGGACCGAACCGACUAAUGUUGAAAAAUUAGCGGAUGACUUGUGGCUGGGGGUGAAAGGCCAAUCAAACCGGGAGAUAGCUGGUUCUCCCCGAAAGCUAUUUAGGUAGCGCCUCGUGAAUUCAUCUCCGGGGGUAGAGCACUGUUUCGGCAAGGGGGUCAUCCCGACUUACCAACCCGAUGCAAACUGCGAAUACCGGAGAAUGUUAUCACGGGAGACACACGGCGGGUGCUAACGUCCGUCGUGAAGAGGGAAACAACCCAGACCGCCAGCUAAGGUCCCAAAGUCAUGGUUAAGUGGGAAACGAUGUGGGAAGGCCCAGACAGCCAGGAUGUUGGCUUAGAAGCAGCCAUCAUUUAAAGAAAGCGUAAUAGCUCACUGGUCGAGUCGGCCUGCGCGGAAGAUGUAACGGGGCUAAACCAUGCACCGAAGCUGCGGCAGCGACGCUGAUGCGUUGUUGGGUAGGGGAGCGUUCUGUAAGCCUGCGAAGGUGUGCUGUGAGGCAUGCUGGAGGUAUCAGAAGUGCGAAUGCUGACAUAAGUAACGAUAAAGCGGGUGAAAAGCCCGCUCGCCGGAAGACCAAGGGUUCCUGUCCAACGUUAAUCGGGGCAGGGUGAGUCGACCCCUAAGGCGAGGCCGAAAGGCGUAGUCGAUGGGAAACAGGUUAAUAUUCCUGUACUUGGUGUUACUGCGAAGGGGGGACGGAGAAGGCUAUGUUGGCCGGGCGACGGUUGUCCCGGUUUAAGCGUGUAGGCUGGUUUUCCAGGCAAAUCCGGAAAAUCAAGGCUGAGGCGUGAUGACGAGGCACUACGGUGCUGAAGCAACAAAUGCCCUGCUUCCAGGAAAAGCCUCUAAGCAUCAGGUAACAUCAAAUCGUACCCCAAACCGACACAGGUGGUCAGGUAGAGAAUACCAAGGCGCUUGAGAGAACUCGGGUGAAGGAACUAGGCAAAAUGGUGCCGUAACUUCGGGAGAAGGCACGCUGAUAUGUAGGUGAAGUCCCUCGCGGAUGGAGCUGAAAUCAGUCGAAGAUACCAGCUGGCUGCAACUGUUUAUUAAAAACACAGCACUGUGCAAACACGAAAGUGGACGUAUACGGUGUGACGCCUGCCCGGUGCCGGAAGGUUAAUUGAUGGGGUUAGCCGCAAGGCGAAGCUCUUGAUCGAAGCCCCGGUAAACGGCGGCCGUAACUAUAACGGUCCUAAGGUAGCGAAAUUCCUUGUCGGGUAAGUUCCGACCUGCACGAAUGGCGUAAUGAUGGCCAGGCUGUCUCCACCCGAGACUCAGUGAAAUUGAACUCGCUGUGAAGAUGCAGUGUACCCGCGGCAAGACGGAAAGACCCCGUGAACCUUUACUAUAGCUUGACACUGAACAUUGAGCCUUGAUGUGUAGGAUAGGUGGGAGGCUUUGAAGUGUGGACGCCAGUCUGCAUGGAGCCGACCUUGAAAUACCACCCUUUAAUGUUUGAUGUUCUAACGUGGACCCGUAAUCCGGGUUGCGGACAGUGUCUGGUGGGUAGUUUGACUGGGGCGGUCUCCUCCUAAAGAGUAACGGAGGAGCACGAAGGUUGGCUAAUCCUGGUCGGACAUCAGGAGGUUAGUGCAAUGGCAUAAGCCAGCUUGACUGCGAGCGUGACGGCGCGAGCAGGUGCGAAAGCAGGUCAUAGUGAUCCGGUGGUUCUGAAUGGAAGGGCCAUCGCUCAACGGAUAAAAGGUACUCCGGGGAUAACAGGCUGAUACCGCCCAAGAGUUCAUAUCGACGGCGGUGUUUGGCACCUCGAUGUCGGCUCAUCACAUCCUGGGGCUGAAGUAGGUCCCAAGGGUAUGGCUGUUCGCCAUUUAAAGUGGUACGCGAGCUGGGUUUAGAACGUCGUGAGACAGUUCGGUCCCUAUCUGCCGUGGGCGCUGGAGAACUGAGGGGGGCUGCUCCUAGUACGAGAGGACCGGAGUGGACGCAUCACUGGUGUUCGGGUUGUCAUGCCAAUGGCACUGCCCGGUAGCUAAAUGCGGAAGAGAUAAGUGCUGAAAGCAUCUAAGCACGAAACUUGCCCCGAGAUGAGUUCUCCCUGACUCCUUGAGAGUCCUGAAGGAACGUUGAAGACGACGACGUUGAUAGGCCGGGUGUGUAAGCGCAGCGAUGCGUUGAGCUAACCGGUACUAAUGAACCGUGAGGCUUAACCUU